ACUCGGCGCCGACCCCAGGAGACCGAAGACGGUGUGAAUCUCGUAGGGCUUCAGUGCCUUCUCCAGUUGCACCUAAAAGCGACCACAGACGCAGCGGGGGAAGUGCUUGGAUCCCACCAGAGCGUCCUCCCGGAGGAAAUUCGGGACAAAGGGGCGAUGUCGACCAUAGAGAACCGGCCUUAGGGGAUAGAGUCCCAGGGCCCGGCUGAGGGCUAGAGUAGCCGCCGAGCACCGGAAACCAGCGAGAUGAUGAGGCUGUGUGAACGGCCCGCUGCAGCCUAGAGCGCCGGCCCCGCUGUGGAGGGGCACGCGGACAACGCCACCAAGGAGCUGAGCGAGGAAAGAAGCGGGUGACCUUGGGGAGGCCCUGCGGGGAGGCGGAGCCUGAACUUACGACCUUGGUUUAUCUGAGGAAAGGGGCAGGCGGUCCAGGAGUUUGCAUCUCUGAGGCUGGAGAUGAAGAUGGUGGUAGUGGUGGGGGAGGGGGUGGGUAGAAAUAAUGAGGUCAGGGCCGGGCGCAGUGGCUCAUGCCUGUAAUCCCAGCACUUCGGAAGGCCGAGGCAGGUGGAUCACCUGAGGUCAGGAGUUCGAGACCAGCCUGGCCAACAUGGUGAAACCCCGUCUCUACUAAAAAUACAAAAAUUAGCCGGGCAUGGUGGCGCGCGCCUGUAGUCCCAGUCCCUCCGGAGGCAGAGGCAAGAGAAUAGCUUGAAUCCGGAAGGCAGAGAUUGCGGUGAGCCGAGAUGGCGCCACGGCACUCCAGCCCAGGCAACAGAACUAGAAUCCCUAUUUUAAAAAUAGAAAAAAAAAAAAUGAGGUCAGGGCCGGGAGCGCUGGCUCACGCCUGUAAUCCCAGCCCUUUGGGAGGCCGAGGCGGGCGGAUGGCUUGAGGUCAGGAGUUUGAGACCAGCCUGACCAACAUGGUGAAACCCCGUCUGUACUAAAAAUACAAAAAAUUUAGCCGGGCGUGGUGGCAGGCGCCUGUAAUCCCAGCCCCUUGGGAGACCGAGGCAGGAGAACAGCUUGAACCCGGGAGGCAGAGGUUGCGGUGAGCCGAGAUGGCGCCACGGCACUCCAGCGCGGGCAACAGAGCUAGACUCCCUAUCAAAAAAAAAAAAAAAAAAAAAGAAUUGAGGUCAAGGCCGGACGCAGUGGCUCACGCCUGUAAUCCCAGCACUUUGGGAGGCCGAGGCGGGCGGAUCACUUGAGGUCAGGAGUUUGAGACCAGCCUGACCAACAUGGUGAAACCCCAUCUGCAAUAAAAAUACAAAAAUUUUAGCCGGGCUUGGUGGCAGGCGCCUGUACUCCCAGCUACUUGAGAGGAGGCUGAGGCAGAAGAAUCACUUGAACCCCAGAGUCGGAAGUUGCAGUGAGCCAAGACUGCGCCACUGCAAUCCAGCCUGGGCAAAAGAGCGAGACUCCAUCUCAAAAAUAAUAACAAUAAUAAUAAUGAGGUCAAUUCCAGACGUGCUUUUGGGACGUCUGUGGGCAUAUAGUCUGGAGCUAAGAAGAGACAUCAAGGCCAGUUAGAGAAAUCGAGAACAAUUAAAGUACGGAGGGUAGUUGAAAGCAUGAGCACAGUGAGAUCCUCCACCCAUCCAGUGUCUGAUUGACCCGGCUCCAGCUGGCCUAAACAGUAAAGGAAGCUAUGGCCCAAGUAAUCGAAAAGUCCAGAGCGGACAGAUUCAGACAGGUGAACACAGGGGCCAGAAGAUAUCAGGAACCUGUGGCUCACCAUCUCUGGUUCUGCCUUCCCUAUGCAUUUGGCUUCACCCUCAGGCAGGCUCUCCUCUCUUAGUGGCAAAAUAGCUUCUUGUAGCUCCAAGCUUAAACCCUAAUAGCUUAGCAACUCUCCUAGAAGGAGCAUGCCUCUUUUCUGAGAUUCCCAAUGAAAUUUCCAGAACUGAGUAGCUGAUUGGAUCAAGUGCCCAUCCUGGAACUCGAAGACAAAUAAAUAACCCAAGAGGGGAAGACGGAUAAAUCCUGACUCACCUAAGAAUGUUCAAGGCCGGGCACAGUGGCUCACGCCUGUAAUCCCAGCACUUUGGGAGGCCGAGACAGGCGGAUCAUGAGGUCAGGAGAUCAAGACCAUCCUGGCUAACACGGUGAAACCCCAUCUCUGCUAAAAAUACAAAAAAAAUUAGCCAGGCGUGGUGGCGGGUGCCUGUAGUCCCAGCUACUGGGGAGGCUGAGGCAGGAGAAUGGCGUGAACCUGGGAGGCAGAGCUUGCAGUGAGCCGAGAUCGCACCACUGCACUCCAGCCUGGGCGACAGAGCGAGACUCCGUCUCAAAAAAAAAAAUGUUCUAAGAUGGCCGGGCGCAGUGGCUCACGCCUGUAAUCCCAACACUGGGAGGCUGAGGCGGGCGCAUCAUGAGUUCAGGAGUUCAAGACCAUCCUGGCCAACAUAGUGAAACCCCACCUCUACUAAAAAUACAAAAAUUAGCUGGACAUGGUGGCACAUACCUGUAAUCUCAGCUACUCAGGAGGCUGAGGCAGGAGAAUCACUUGAAUCUGGGAGGCGGAGGCUGUGGUGAGCCAAAAUCGUCCCACGGCACUCCAGCCUGGGCAACAGAGCGAGACUCCAUCUCAAAAAACAAAAAAGUGCUGGGCAUGGUGGCUCAGUCCUGUAAUCAAUCCCACUGUUAUCAAUCCCAGCACUUUGGGAGGCUAUGGUGGGCAGAUCACUUGAGGUCAGGAGUUUGAGACCAGCCUAGCCAACAUGGCGAAACCUCAUCUCUACCAAAAAUAUAAAAAAUUAGCCACGUGUGGUGGCGCGUGCCUGUAAUCCCAGCUGCUUGGGAGGCUGAGGCACGAGAAUCGCUUGAACCUGGGAGGUGGAGGUUGCAGUGAGCCAAGAUCAUGCCACUGCACUCCAGACUGGGCAACAGAGCGAGACUCCAUCUCAAGAAAUUAAAAAAAAAACAAAUCUGGAGUCCUAACUGUUGGAACAGAAAUCACAUACCAGAGACCAGGGAGUGUGGGAGUGAGUAUAAGAUGUGUGUGUGUCGGGGGGAAAUGGGCAAACACAAACACAAAUGAUAUAAAGGGAUCCGUGGGGGAUCACAGGGUGUGCUGCCAUGGUCUCUAGAAGGCAUUGAUAACUAAGAGACUGCUGCGUGACUUGGUGAGAGUAGUUUCAGCAGAGGCCAAAUGGUAGUGGUUUGAGGAAUGAGUGGAAGGUAAAGAAGUGGGAGGAGGCUGGGCACGGUGGCUCCCGCCUGUAAUUCCAGCACUUUGGGAGGCCAAGGCAGGCGGAUCACCUGAGGUCAGGAGUUUGAGACCCGCCUGGCCAACAUGGCAAAACCCUGUCUCUACUAAAAUUAGCCAGGCGUGGUGGCACGCACCUGUAAUCCCAGCUACUUGGGAGGCUGAGGCAGGAGAAUCGCUUGAACCUGGGAGGUGGAGGUCGCAGUGAGCCAAGAUCGUGCCACUGCAUUCCAGCCUGGGUGACAGAGCAAGACUCCAUCGUAAAAAAAAAAAAAAAAAAAAUUCAAGAAGUGGGAGGAAAAAUGUGGAGAGAUGUUCUACACAGUUUGGCUGAAAAGGGGAGGACAGAGAUAAGGCAGGUUGUAAGUGUGAGAAGGUAGAAAGGUUUGCUUGUUUGUUUCUAUCUUGAGGAAGAUCUGAUUUUGUUGGAAACAUUAAGGGGAAAGGAAUCAGUAGAGAGGAUGGUCGCUGAAGGAGCAAGGUUGCGGAGAAGGUUGGUGGGGACGUUAUCCAGGGCCCAGGUUAAGCCAAGGCAUUAAUAUGAAGGGGAGAAACCCUUCUUCCUCAUAAGCAGGGAUGUAAAACUCGGGAUGCUUUCCGCUAUAACUACUAGAAACCCUAAUUCCAGCUAACUUAAACAUGAAAACAGCCGGGGGGGGGGGGUCUAUUGGUUUAAAUAAUUGAAAAAUCAGAGAUAGGAUGACUUCAGGCAUGGCUGGAGCCAGAGGCUCAAACAAUGUUGAUUUGAACUUGGUCUCAGUCUCUUUUAGUUCUGCUUUUCCCUGGACUUUCUUUCUUUUUCUCUCUCUCUUUUUUUUUUUCCUGAUACAGGGUCUUGCUCUGUCACCUGGGCUGGAGUGCAGUGGUACAAUCAUAGCUUACUGCAGCUUCGAACUCCUGGGCUGAGGCAGUCCUCUCACCUCAGCCUCCCCAGUAGCUGAGACCACAGGCAUGACCCACGCCUGGCUCCCUGGACUGUCUUCAUUCUCAGGGAGGUUGUCAUCUCGUAAGUAGCAAAAUAGCCAAGCCUCAUUCUACCAGCUUAAACAACCCUGGCAGAAAAAGAGUAUAGCUUUCCCAAUAGCUACAGCAAAUAAAACAGGGGUGUCUGAUGAGCUCAGCUUUCAUCGCCCAGUGAUCUUUUGUCAUUUAAUAAGGAAUUUAUCUGUUGGGUACUGGGCUUAAUACCUGAGUGAUGACAUGUAUAACAAACCCCCAUGACAGGUGUCUAUCUAUGUGAUAAACCUUCACAUGUAUCCCCAAACCUAAAAUAAAACUUAAAUAAAUAGGCUGGGCAUGGUGGCUCACACCUGUAAUCCCAACACAUUAGGAGGCUGAGGCAGGCGAAUCACCCGAGGCUGGGAGUUCAAGACCAGCCUGGGCAACAUGGUGAAACCCCAUCUCUACAACAAAUACAAAAAAAUUAGCCAGGUUGGGUGGUCCAUGCCUGUAAUCCCAGCUACUCGGGAGGCUAAGGCAUGAGAACGGCUUGAACCAGGGAGGCAGAGGUUGCAGUGAGCCAAGAUCAUGCACAGCAAGAUCCUGUCUCUAAAAAAAACCAAAUAAAUGAUUUUUUUUUUUUUUUUUUGAGAAACAGUCUUGCUGUGUCACCCAGGCUGGAGUGCAGUGGUAUGAUCUCAGCUCACCAGCUGCAAACUCUGCCUCCUGGAUUCAAGUGAUUCUCAUGCCUCAGCCUCCCGAAUAGCUGAGAUUACAGGCGUGCGCCACCAGGCCUGGCUAAUUUUUGUAUUUUUAGCAGAGAUGGGGAUUCACCAUGUUAGCAAAGCUGGUCCCGAACUCCCAGCCUCAAGUGAUCUGCCCGACUUGGCCUCCCAGAGUGCUGGGAUUACAAGUGUGAGCCACUAUGCCCAGCCAAAUAAAUAAAAUUUUGAAAAGAAUUUGGCUGGUCUUUGUCCCAGGUUCCUGGCAUAGAGCUUCCAAAACACUUGGAAUUUCCUGAGUCAUAGAAAUGUCUGUUACUCAGAAGUUCCUUAUGUAACACCUGAGUUUUUUUGUUUGAGACAGAGUCUCACUGUCUCCCAGGCUGGAGUGCAGUGGCGCGAUCUUGGCUUACUGCAACCUCCACCUCCUCCCGGGUUCACGCCAUUCUCCCACCUCAACUUCCCAAGUAGCUGGGAUUGCAGGCAUGGGCCACCACACCCAGCUAAUCUUUGUAUUUUUAGUAGAGACAGGGUUUCACCACGUUGGCCAGGCUGCUCUCGAACUCCUGACCUCAGGUGAGCCACCUACCCCUGCCUCCCAAAAUGCUGGGAUUACAGGCGUGAGCCACUGUGCCCAGCCAACACCUGAGUUUUUGCUAAUGAGGUGACUCAUGGCAGGCCCUCAGUAGCUUCAGGAUAGGGCCUGGUCACCAGAAAGACCAACCUUGUGAUUAGAGGGUUGGGAUUUUGAGCCAGCCCAACCCCCAGGGAGGGGAGGGGGCCUGAAGGGUAAGACCAAUCACAUGGCCAGUGAUGUACUAAUAAGAACUCUGGCCGGGCGCGGUGGCUCACGCCUGUAAUCCCAGCACUUUGGGAGGCUGAGGUGGGCGGAUCACGAGGUCAGGAGAUCGAGACCAUCCUGGCUAACACAGUGAAACCCCCUCUCUACUAAAAAUACCAAAAAUUCGCCAGGUGUGGUGGUGGGCGCCUGUAGUCCCAGCUACUCGGGAGUCUGAGGCAGGAGAAUGGCGUGAACCCAGGAGGCGGAGCUUGCAGUGAGCCGAGAUUGCGCCACUGCACUCCAGCCUGGGCAACAGAGCGAGACUCCGUCUCAAAAAAAAAAAAAAAAGAACUCCGGACACUGAAACUCAGUGGGUGUUCUGGUCAGCAAAUGCAUUGAUGUGCUGGGAGGUGACGUGCCCUGCUUCCACAGGGGAGAGGGCACAGGAGCUUGGUGGCCUGCUGUCCCAGCUCUCCCUGUGUGUCUCUUCAUUGGCUGGCCCUGCUUUGUAUUCUUUGUAAAGCUGUAAUCCCAAGUGUAGUGCUUUCCUGCAUUCUAUGAGUCAUUGUUUUUAUUUAAGUAAAAUAUACAUGUAUAAUUUACAUCUUUACUAUUUUUAAGUGUACAGUUCAGUGGUAAUAAAUACAUUUAUAUUAUUUUUUGCCCUUUCACCCCCCCGCCCCCACUCCCCAUUAUGAGCCAUUCUUGUGAACUGCUGAACCUGAUGGGGGACAGUGUAGCCUCCUCUGGGAAGCCAUGCAUGGCUGGUCCACCUAGGCCACCUCUCAACUAUCUUUUUUUUUUUUUUUGAGACAGAGUCACUCUGUUGCCCAGACUGGAGUGCAGUGAUGCAAUCUCGGUUCACUGCAACCUCCAUCUCCCGGGUUCAAGCAAUCCUCCUGCCUUAGCCUCCCAAGUAGCUGGGAUUACAGGUGUGCAUCACCGCGUCCAGCUAAUUUUUGUAUUUUUAGUACAGAUGAGGUUCCACCACGUUGGCCAGGCUGGUCUCGAACUCCUGACCUCAAGUGAUCCUCCCACCUCGGCCUCCCAAAGUGAUGGGAUUACAGGUGUGAGCCACUGGGGCUGGCCUCAAGUACCUUUUACUUAGUAGCUUUUGUAUGACAUUCACCAAGUGCUUCCAGUUGUGAUGUCUCCCAUCACAUCAGAGUGACAUGGGUAUGACGGGAGCCCUGGGUUUGGAAGCACACUCAGGGUUGGCAUGCAGGGACUUGGGGAGGCAGGAGGCAGAGCAGAAGUUGGUGCAGUGGUCCACAAGAGGGCUGAUGCUGGCCUGGCUAUGGCGAUGUAAUGGGGUUGGUGCCAAGGGGUUUAACCAGAGAGACUUCCCAGGAGGUCCUGCCAAGUUGGCUGGUGGGAAGAGUGAAGAGUGAAGGAUGCCCUUGAGCUUCCUCUGAGGAAGGAUUUAUAGAGUGGCACCAAGGACAGUGCGCUGGGACCUAGUCCUUAAUGUGCCACUAAGUUCCUGGCUAGCCCAGUACUCAUUUCCAUUGCACCAGACCCCAUCCUCCUCUUAGAAGUUUUAGAGCUACAAGAAAUCUUAGAGAUCAUCAUAUGAUUUAACCUCCACCCCCAAUUUGUAGAUAAUGAAGCUGAGGGCCAAGAAGGUACAGUGACCCAUCUUUAUUUAUAAAAAUGAAUGUGAAUAUAAAAUUUGCUUUCCAUUGAAAACCUCAGGAAACUUACUAAGCCCAAUGCAAAUGCUCAAUUGAAAUGAUUCAAUAAAUCCUCCAACAAAUACUGA
rnacentral:lncRNA from 1 species